GUACUGCUGAGGAGUCCCACACUAGGACGAAACGGCCGUCCACUGC
rnacentral:hammerhead_ribozyme from 1 species